AGGAAGGGGGCGGGAUUGCAAUAUCUUCUCGGGAGAGAGGUUCAUGGACAGUGGACCUCUGCGCUCGGUUGGUGCUGAAAAUAUAUAUCGGCUUCGGGCACCUCCGUACAAUCUACCUGCCGAUAUCGUUCGUGUCUUGGAUUAAAAAACGCCUAGCCGUUUUCUCAGCACAUGCACCGAAGGCCUCGACCAGUGAAAACGAACAACUUCAGAUACUUAUCUUUUAGGCGUACACUGUGCCGUAAUGGAGAAAGACAAUGUAGCUAUCUAGCCAAAUUGCUAACACUGAGAGGACCCAGCACCAAAACUUCGUAUGGAGAUUAAAACGGUUAUCAAUCUAAUCUAUCAACGGAGGACAUUCACGCGAUUUGGGAUUUAUUCACUCACGGAGCCGGUGUGACUCCAUAUAGCUAACGUUACAGGCGCUGUAUCCCGGCAGACAUCUAGAGGCCCUGCCACACACAUAAAGAGAGGAAGAUCACAAGUGACACCACAGCGGGGGUGGAGAGAGCGACCGUGCCUGUUGGAAAACCUGUUGGAUUUAAGUUCUCUUUAUUACAGAUUAUCACACUGCUCUCCUAACUGCCACCCUCCCCCUUCACACACACACUUGACACAGACACACACUCACACAGACGUAGAGACGGACACGAACAGAGACGGAUAGACAGAGACUAACACAGACACACACACACUCCUCUAGAAGUAGCCCUAGAGAGUCACAUAAACGUCUCACAGUCACUCAGACUCGCGCUCCGAGACUCAGUUGGUUCUCAGGGGUCGUGGUGGGAGGGUGCCCCCCCCCCUCUCGUUGCACUCCGCUGGGGGACGGAAGUAGAGGAAUGGCCCUGGGGGAAUGGCUGGCUGGCUGCCUCGCUCAGUGAGACGGAGGCUUAUGUAACUAACAAGCCCGCCUCAUCUUUCUCUCCUUGGCUAGCUAACACAGCUGGGCCUUGAGUCUACAGACACUGGGGAGGAGCUCAUCAGCCCCCCCACUGGGGAAUACAGCUUCCAGCUUCUAAUCUUCAGGCCCUCAUCCUUCCUCUCUGGGUUCAACUUCACAUUGCUAUUUUUAUUUUUUUUUAUCCUUUUUUUUUUCAACCAUUUUUUCAGGAGGACCUUUUAAGGGUGUUUUGGAUAUGUGGGAUCGACCGCUGAGACUUCCUGCUUGUCUCCCAUUGGCUCAGGGAUGCCCCGACCAGGAAGAACAAAGUCUGAGAGUCCGUCUACGCGCACAUUGGCGCUUUUUAAGACGCUGUUUGGACUGAAGGGACAGCCAUUUAAUUAGUAAGGAAACGAGCUGACUAGCUGACUUCUUGAUAUUCGUCUUCGCUGAUUUUUUUUGCUCUCGUUUUGAUGUUUUGUUUUUCCUAUCUCAUAUGACGAUUGAGCCGACCAGGGAGUAAAAUAAACAGAGACAAGAAUCCCACUUGGCCACAAUCAAAGGUCAUUUUGCUCUGCCUUUCUCUCUCCCUUGGUUUUUCUCUCUCCCUCAUUAUGUAUAUCAACUACCUGUUUACACACUAGACCAGCUACAGUGAUAGCCUUCCUUUCUAUCGAGGCAGCAAAGAAACUAUUAAUUUGUGACCUUUUUAUGUCUUACCUGCGACAAAUCAAAAACCUUGCAGUCGGUCUCUACCUCCUCAAUCGCUUCAAACCCUUUUAAAACGUCUGUGUCAGAACCAAAUCCAUACUCAGUCGGUCUGCAUCACAGACCGAGUAGUGUACAGACUGAACAGUCGACAGACCGUCCAAGCUACAGACCAAAACAACCUGUCAUCUUAGUCUGGAAGGGGAGAAGGUUAUUGGGUCAAUGUCAUUGAACUGGACCAGAGCUCUUUGAUAUAUUAAGUUAUUGCUGCGGGCUUUCGUUGAAGAGGGAAUGUGUAGCAGGUCAACCAAGGCGAUCUGCCUCAUCCCCUGUACCUAACUGACAUUUUGACGCCCGAAAGUCGAGUUGUGUUUUUGAAACCGUUUCUGAGUCUAGGCGACUAGAUGAGAGUAGGAUUGUAAAUGAAUUAAGAAGAAAAGUUAAAACCGCUUUCACCAAAUCAUACGCAUUAUGUUUUGCUAGGACAUCCUACUUGUUUUCAUUUGAAAAGGGAGCGUCCAAGGUUUUUAUAUUCCACACCCAAACAAUCAAGCCAUAUCACAGCUUUUUCCUCUUUUCUAUUUGUUGCACUAUUUUAUUUUUGUAUCGUAAAAUCACUAAGCCUUCAAUGAAGUUAUUUACCUCUCGCCCGCACACAGUUCUUGAAAUUCCCCUUUAAAAUGUCAAGACGUUGACCCAAAUCCACUGUAAGGAACCAGUUUAAAGACUAAAGGAAAAACCAAGCUAUUCGAAAGAAUCAGCCUUGACAAUUGAGCAGAAGUUGUUGUUGUCCCAAGCCCCCCCCCCCCCUAUAUAAGUCAGUAGUUCACGCAUAGAGCGGCAACGCCUCAAUCUUACAAGAGCACGUCUUUAAGUAGUGGCUCUGUUUACCUUUCAUGUUGACCUUUGUUGACCUGUGUGUUGUCCGGAGGACAGAGCAACAAAAGCCUUAUCGCGGAGGCUCUUUAAGCCUCUAGCGGCUGGCAGAGUGCAUCUCAAUCAAAUACCCCCCUUAUCUCUGUCUUACCCUCUCCUUUCAAAUAGCCUCUGUCUUAUCUUACCACCUCCUCUUAGACGAGGCCAACGGUCAAGUUGAAUGGACGUCAAACAACUUCAAGCAAAGGGACAGUUGUUUUAUUGAACACGCGGUUUAGGGAGGGGCCAAUCUACCCCUUCUUUCUUUUCACCCCCCUCUUUCCGGUGAACAUGCAGAAACGCUGGUCUUCUCUCGUCCUGGUCCGAUUGAGAAGGGGACUCCUCUACCUCCCUCUCUAACCACUUCAAUCCCUCCGUCUCUCCCUCUCUCUCUAUGUGCUCUUUCUCUUAAUCUCUCCCUCCCUCUUUAUCUAUAAUCCCUCCAUCCACACACCCCAAACAAAUCCUCCCCACCCCCUCAUCCCCACCCUCCCUGGGUGGGGUAAUUCCACCGUCCCCCCUCCCCUCUACCCCUCCCCCUCCCUGAGUAAUCAAAGGCAUUAUAGCCCCCUCCCCUCUCCCCCUGUGUGAUGCCGGGCAGCAGUAAGAGUGGGGGUGCGGGUGGCCUUCCCUCGCCCCCCCAUACCGCCUCCCCGUCCCGGCCACUUCGCCCGUCCCGCUACGUGCCCGUGUCGGCGGCGACGGCCUUCCUGGUGGGAUCCACCACACUCUUCUUCUGCUUCACGUGUCCAUGGCUUUCGGAGCAGUUCUCGGUUGUCGUGCCGAUCUACAACGGUGUCACCUUCCUGUUCGUCCUGGCCAACUUCUGCAUGGCCACCUUCAUGGACCCGGGUAUCUUCCCCAGAGCGGAUGAGGAUGAGGACAAGGAGGAUGAUUUCCGCGCUCCGCUCUAUAAGACGGUGGAGAUCCGGGGCAUCCAGGUCAGGAUGAAAUGGUGUUCCACCUGCCGCUUCUACAGACCGCCCCGCUGCUCACACUGCUCUGUGUGUGACAACUGUGUGGAGGACUUCGACCACCACUGCCCGUGGGUGAACAACUGUAUCGGCCGGAGGAACUACCGCCACUUCUUCCUGUUCCUGCUGUCCCUGACGGUCCACAUCAUGGGAGUGUUUGGCUUCGGCCUGCUCUACGUCCUCUACCACACACAGCAGCUGGACACGGUCCACUCUGCCGUCACUAUGGCAGUGAUGUGUGUGGCUGGUCUCUUCUUCAUCCCGGUGGCUGGUCUGACUGGCUUCCACAUGGUACUGGUGGCCCGCGGGAGAACCACCAACGAACAGGUGACGGGGAAGUUUAGGGGAGGAGUGAACCCUUUCACCAAUGGCUGUUGGAAGAACGUUUCUCAUGUGCUCUGCAGCUCCCAAGCCCCCAGGUACCUGGGGAGGAAGAGGAAGCCUCACGGUGUGGUUGUCCAGCCUCCGUUCCUCCGGCCACAGCUCACUGACACCCAGCUGGCCGCUAAGGUCCUCGACAACGGUAUCCAUGGAGACCUCCACCGGUCUAAAAGCAGUCUGGAGAUGAUGGAGAGUCAGUCGUGUGAUGCGGAGCCUCCUCCUCCCCCCAAACCAGAGCUCAGGUACCCCGGCUUGUCCAGAGGCCACCAGGAACAACACACAGAGGAGAGUAGUCUUCUGAGCAAAGCCCCGCCCACACCCACCAUGUAUAAGUACAGGCCGACCUAUAGCAGCCCGGGAAAGAACCACACUGCCCUCACUCAUGCCUACGCCAACCAGAUGAGUCGAGGGGACAGUCUAAAGGAGUCGUCUUCUCUGCUCCAGUCCAGCCAGCAGCCUGGCUUCCGCUCUGAACCCAGCCUGGAUGGGAGAGAAGCCCCAGGGGAGAGAGGGGGAGGAGGAUUGGGAGGAGGUGGAAACAGACCCGGAGGAGGGGGGUCAGUAGGGGGGGCACCAGGGUCAGGGGGUGACGGUAUCCCCGGUUACUCCCUAGGGGGACGUUCCUACCCCUCCUUUUCAGACCCAACGGUUCUAUCUUCCGGUGGAGGGGCUUCCCGUUCUUCCAGCGUGCGUUCUGGCUCCGCCCACAAUGCGGCCCACAUCUCCGAGGCUACGACCUCCACGAGCUACAAGAGCUUGGCCAAUCAGACGCCUCCUCCGCGCAACGGCAGCCUAUCGUAUGACAGCCUGCUCACGCCCUCCGAGAGCCCCGACUUUGAGUCAGCCGCACCCAACAUGUCGCCCGGGCGCCACCGUACCCCCGCCCCGCCCCCCGUCCUGGGCUACUCCUCCCCCUACCUGUCGGCCCAACUCAGCCAGCAGAGAGACGCAGAGCUCCACCAGCCCUCCGCCUCUUCCGUAGCCCUCCUUGCCUCCCCACACCGCGCUCACUAUCUCCGCUCCUCCUCCUCCCCCUCCUCCCCUGAGAGGGAGCGACUCCUCCAGGAAUCGCACUCCCACUCCCACCCCCACCACUCUCAGCCCCCUCCCUCCUCCGCGGCCCCCCAACCCCCCACCCACACCACCACCACCACAGCAGCCACAGCUCCAGACCCCCCGCUUCUCCCGGCCCCCGCUCCUGUCCGACUCGGCCGCCCCCACCACUACCCGUACCGCACCCGGUCCACGGACACCCCCUGGCCCCCUCCACACACCCCCGCGCUCCCCCACCCCCGCCGCUGGGGAAGUCUCUGUCGUACUCUUCGGCGGCGGCGGCGGAGAUGCAGUACCGGAUGGUGCGCAAGGCGUCGGCCUCGGCCGGAGGGGGAGGGGGAGGGGGGGGCGGGAUCCAGGCACCUAAGGACGAGAUUCAGAUGAAGUUGCUCAGCCGGACGAACGGGCAGCCCAGGUCCUCCCUUUCCUCCUCAGGCUCCACCCCGUCAUCUCCCUCUCACCCAAUCAGCAUGUCCACUCGCCCUGGAAACACCCAGAGCCCCGCCCACAAGCUGGGGGGCGGGGUGAAGAAGGUGACGGGCGUCGGCGGGACCACCUAUGAGAUUUCAGUCUGAGUUUGACGGGCGGCCACUCCGACUAAUGGUGUCAGGCGUUGGAGGUGAAGGAGGGGUCAGAGAUGGACUGAUGAUAUUUCUGCCUCUCGGACCCUUCAGGAGAGAGGAACGCUUUUAAUGAACAGACGUUAUAAAAGUUGCUCUUCUUCCAAAUGCGAUGGACUCCGGACUUCCUCUCUCGUUCAGAGACCUCCAGUCAAGGAACUACAGAACUAAUCAGGAGGAGGUUGUUUAACCAGUCACAUUCAAGAACACAAUGCACCAUUAUGACAUGGUGGGCGUAUGGGCCAAGGGAUCCAAUCAUACCCCUUAAGAGGCGGGACUCUUUGACAAUCCACCAAUUUCUGGGCGGGUUGAACUCUGUGGGAAUGAUUGAGUGACAGUUAUGACUGGGUUUGCCUUUUAUUGGAUAAAACAAGGAAGAUCAAUAUGGCUACGUUUACACAGGCAGCUGGAUUAUGAUCUUCUUUACCAAUCAGAUCAGCUCUGAAAAAGAGCUGAUGUAAAAGGAUCUGAUUGAGGAAAAUAAAUCUUAAUUGGGCUGCCUGUGUAAAGUACUUUUUUAAAGAAAAGAAAUGUACUUUCAUUCAUCCAUAAAUGUGUAAUGAUUCAUUCUCUGUACAGAAUUAUAUGGUUUGGAAUUUAUGAUUUCCUCCAAUCAGUGGCAUUUAAAGGUUACAGCGGCACGCUCCGGCCACUAUUGACCACUGUGAUUGGCUAGUGAUCUCGCUGCCAUUCUUUCUCGACCAAUCAGAAAUGGAGAUGCUAAACUGUUGUAGACGGCAGGGUCAUUGGUAGAGUAUGUUUUGCCCGGCUCAGUGCCCCGGGUGGGUGGAGAUUUCACUUAAGGACCAAUGGAAUGGUUAAAAAAAUAUAUAUUGCUGGGUCUGUACUUUAAAGAUGGAGCGGCCUUUUCUAAACAAACUUUGGAGCAAUGGCCUUAAAAAUCAAGGAGAGAAGUGUUUAAUUUUACAUAUUUAAUUUCAAAAUGUUAUUUUAUAUGAAUUUCUCUCUCUCUCUCUCUAUAUAUAUAUAUAUAUAUAUAUAGCUGCUGGUAAGAUCAAUAUUUUUUUGAAUGGCCUGAUAGGGUUUUUCUGGUUUGAGUUAAUUUCAGAAUUGUAACCAAAACAGGGGAAAACUGUUGCCGUGUUCACGUUCUAGUCGGAACUUGGACAUUUCUUACUUGCUAACUGGCUAACAAGUGCCGCGUUUAACCAGUUAGCAAGUCGAAAAUGUCAGUUUCCUAGUUCCCGAUUUAGCGCUAGAGCGCGGCUCAGUUGUAUUGAUGGCUGCACCAGCCAAUCAGAAGCUGGGUUUUGAGUCUUCAGCCAAAGAGAGUAGCUGGACAAUGUUAUAUGGUUCAGCUAAUGGGAACCAAUGUAUAUGAUAAAAGGCGAUGUAGCAUUUUAAAGUUCUUUGAUACACAGUAAACCACUCGACUUCUCGUGGGGCAUAUUUCAGAGACAAGUUAUCGUUGUACCUUCUGGUUGUUUACUUCUGAGCUUUGUAAUCAUUUGUCUGAAAUGGCACCCUAUUCACUAUAUAGUGCACCACUUUUGACCUAUAAGGAAUAGGGUCCAGAUAAUGACGUCUCCGGUUGCCACUAGCUGACCUAUCUGGAAACUAGCCAGGAUCACAAUGCUUUGCCGUGACCAAUCCGUAGAGAGCAAGAGAUUCAUUUCAGCCUACUCUUUUAUUCGUUAACGGUUAAACCAAUGAGAUGAACAGCUGAAAAAAAAGUCAGUAACAUCCUUUUUAUAUUUAUUUUUUACUUUCCUUUGCAAGAUUUUUAGGACAAUUUACAGGGCAUUGCUUUAAACCGACAGUUUGUUUGACCAGUCAGGAGCGUAGAAUGAAACUAAAUGGGCUAGGACUAAAAGAGCACGUCGCCCAAUAAGGCAAAGAUGUUUGACUGCCAUCAGGAACAGCCAAUGCCCUUGCAGAUGUUUAGACAAGUACGAGCCCGGGACUUGGGUGUUUUGAAAUAAAAAUAAAAAGAUAUGUACUAUAUAGCUGUGUGUGUGGGCGUGUGCGUCUGUGAGUGUGUGUUUGAGCAUUGGUAAUAAAGUAUUUAAAACCAAA